rnacentral:lncRNA from 1 species
ACCACCAAAAUCAUGCCAAGAAGACACUCUUCAUAUGUCUUACAACCUAGGAUUUGAUUUUGGACUUCAACAUGUGGAAAGACCAAAUCCUAGGGAACACUAGCAACACUUGCUAAUUCUCUCACCACCCUUCUUACAACUUUUGCCUCUCAAUUUUUCUUUGCCUUUUUCUUAGAUUUUUUUUAUAAUUUUUUCUCUAAUUUACAUGCCACUUACCUCUAGUUUCCACCCA